rnacentral:rRNA from 1 species
GACGAACGCUGGCGGCGCGCCUAACACAUGCAAGUCGAGCGUGUUAGUCGUUGGCCUAACGACCAACGACUAACAAGCGGCGGACGGGUGAGUAACACGUGGAUAACCUGCCUCCAAGCCCGGGAUAACACCUCGAAAGGGGUGCUAAUACCGGAUGAGCCUAGCCGGGCGCAUGCCUGGGUAAGCAAAGCGUUUAGCGCUUGGAGAGGGGUCCGCGGCCCAUCAGCUAGUUGGCGGGGUAACGGCCCACCAAGGCGACGACGGGUAGCCGGCCUGAGAGGGUGGUCGGCCACACUGGGGACUGAGACACGGCCCAGACUCCUACGGGAGGCAGCAUG